GCUACUGUGGCCUAGUGGUUAGAGCGUCCGCCUCGCAUGCGAGAGUUCGCGGGUUCGAAUUCCGGCCGAGUCAUACCA